rnacentral:tRNA from 1 species
AAAAAUUUAGUUAAGUAUUAACAUUAGUUUGUCAAACUAAAAUCACUAAAAAAUAGUAAUUUUUA